AUUGAACGCUGGCGGCAGGCCUAACACAUGCAAGUCGAGCGGAUGAAGGGAGCUUGCUCCUGGAUUCAGCGGCGGACGGGUGAGUAAUGCCUAGGAAUCUGCCUGGUAGUGGGGGAUAACGUCCGGAAACGGGCGCUAAUACCGCAUACGUCCUGAGGGAGCAAGUGGGGGAUCUUCGGACCUCACGCUAUCAGAUGAGCCUAGGUCGGAUUAGCUAGUUGGUGGGGUAAAGGCCUACCAAGGCGACGAUCCGUAACUGGUCUGAGAGGAUGAUCAGUCACACUGAAACUGAGACACGGUCCAGACUCCUACGGGAGGCAGCAGUGGGGAAUAUUGGACAAUGGGCGAAAGCCUGCUCCAGCAAUGCCGCGUGGGUGAAGAAGGUCUUCGGAUUGUAAAGCACUUUAAGUUGGGAGGAAGGGCAGUAAGUUAAUACCUUGCUGUUUUGACGUUACCAACAGAAUAAGCACCGGCUAACUUCGUG
rnacentral:rRNA from 1 species